UUUCUCUGAUACGGAGCAAAGAGGUCCCCAGAAGACCAGCAGCAGACUGGGCCUCUGAUAGCAGCCAUGUUCAGAAACGGAGAGGAAGA